rnacentral:rRNA from 1 species
AUUGAACGCUGGCGGCAGGCCUAACACAUGCAAGUCGAGCGGAUGAAGGGAGCUUGCUCCUGGAUUAAGCGGCGGACGGGUGAGUAAUGCCUAGGAAUCUGCCUGGUAGUGGGGGAUAACGUCCGGAAACGGGCGCUAAUACCGCAUACGUCCUGAGGGAGAAAGUGGGGGAUCUUCGGACCUCACGCUAUCAGAUGAGCCUAGGUCGGAUUAGCUAGUUGGUGGGGUAAAGGCCUACCAAGGCGACGAUCCGUAACUGGUCUGAGAGGAUGAUCAGUCACACUGGAACUGAGACACGGUCCAGACUCCUACGGGAGGCAGCAGUGGGGAAUAUUGGACAAUGGGCGAAAGCCUGAUCCAGCCAUGCCGCGUGUGUGAAGAAGGUCUUCGGAUUGUAAAGCACUUUAAGUUGGGAGGAAGGGCAGUAAGUUAAUACCUUGCUGUUUUGACGUUACCAACAGAAUAAGCACCGGCUAACUUCGUG